GUUUUGAUGUUAUUUUUAUUGUAGUGGACAACGUGACGUGAGAUUGAAGGCAAAUAAUAAUAAAUAAAAAAAAUAAAUGCCAUGACCACGCCAUACAUGCAGUACUCUCAACUUGUCUCUGCUCCCCACAUGGCAUGACUGAGUUGUUGAAAGGGAAAUCCUUCCAUUCUGCUUCCUGAUAUCUCUGGAAUAGUGGAAUGAGAACCAAUACAAAAGUGGAGAUAGCUAACAGUGACAACAACUAAAGCAAAAAAUAUGAAUGAGAGACAUUUAAGGUUUCGAUCAUAUCUAUGUAGAGAAGACAAGGCAUAUUCCACGAGGGAAGAAGACGAAGAAACAAAGCUAUAUAAAGGGCUGCAAGUGAACAAGGCUGCGGGGCACAUGCAGAUUGUGCCGCUGCUAUCAUCGGAGAAAAUUCAACAAAAAAAAAAACUUGAUAGUUAUGAUGAAAUUGCAACCACAAGCGAUGGCUGCUCUCCCCAUUAUGAAGUACUGCCUUUAUUCCCCAACCGGAAGUAGUAGGCUCAUCAGCCCAUUCCAAUUCUGUCUCAGAGUCUCACAGACACAGAUAAAUGGUAACGGCACAGGUUAGUAAUUUGCCCCCACUCCAAUUGCCAGUACCCAUUUAUUAUUGAACAAUGAAUAAUGAUUCAUCAACAUUCACCCACUCUAAACCAUCUCAUUAAUACACAAUAAUUAUUUUUUUCUCA